AUGCGGUAUAUAUUUACUUUAAUAUCGUAUAAUAUUUUAACACCGUAAUAAAAUUUGCUAUUAAAAGAAUUUGAUAAUACUACUUCAAUCAAAUCAAUCAUUAAUGUCAAAUAUUGUUUUAUUGAAACAAAAGCAAGUUUUAUAAAAUAAGUGUCCAAUGACAUGGCUCCUAAUUUCUUUACUGGACUCCUAGUACAUUUUAUCUUAUCUUAUACAUUACAGAAGUUCUAUUUAAUAAAAACAAUGUCAUAAAAAAAAGAAAGUUCAGGCCGAAAGAGCCAACGAAAUGAUGUUGAUAUGACCCCCGUGCUAGUUCAAGGGAGCCAACCCUAACCAUGCCAUUGGAUUAAAAGUGCAAAUUGACAUGUAUGUAAAAAAAAUCAUGGGAACAAAAUGUGUGAAAAGGUAAAUUCAAAUUUAGUAGCGGAAAAUGCUCAACAAAUCAAAACGUUAUAUUUAAGUGUUGCUUUUAUAAAGAAACAAAAGCAAACAAACAAACAAACAAAACUAUAUAUUAAAUGACAUGGUUAAACAAGUCAAGAUUAAAUGUUGAACAUUUAAAUCGCAAAACUUAAAAUAUAAAAUAAAACCAAAAAAUAUACAAUAAAUGGUAAAAAAAAAAAAAUGGGCAGAUGUCGUGAAUUAAUGUUAGCAAACGACGUGUGGUGGCGCUGCAUUGUUCUAUUUUUUUUUAUUUGGCUGGAACAGAGCAUCAGGCAAACUGGAAAGUCUAAAGGUUUGGCGCUGCUUAGAGCUGAAGUGGCGCUGGCCUGUAGCAGAUACUUUUAAAAAGUCUUUGAAACAAGCAAAAAAUAAAAUAACACAAAUCGUUAUCCACAAAAAAAAAUGGUGCGAUUUUGGGGGUUUUCUUUUUUUUUUUUUUAAUAUAGAUUUAUUAUUUCUAAAUUAAGAUAGUUUUGUUUCCAGACGUAGAGACCUCAUAGCCUCGUUCUCAUCCCAUCAUCAAUUUAUAGAACUCUGCGAAAUAAAAAAUUUUUUAGUGGGUCGAGAUUAAAGUAGGUCAAGUGAAUGAUAAAUGUAGGUCAUGCAAGCAUACAGCGUGCUGAGGGUGGUAAGAAUGGGCGCCAAUCACACACCACAACCAUGCAGAGAAAAAAAAUGCACACCUUUUGAAAGUUAUAAAAUGCAACAUGCAUGGGGAUGGGGGGGAGUAAGGAUUUUUUGGAUGAAGGCUUUUUGUUGCUUUGCUAAUCAUCACCUUGAAGCAGGGAAGAUUAAACUUGAUAACUAAUUGUUUGAUCAAUAAUCAACAGUUUCAUUUGACGAAAGUGGGAUCGGGCCUGCUACCCUUGUUUCGAUUUCCAAAAUAAUAUUUAAAAAGACAGAAACAAUUUAAAAACUGGUAAGGUUUUCAUUGAAUACAUUUUAUCAAUAAACCGAAAUUGAUUUGCAUUGGUGAUAUAUAUUUGAGUUUGAUGCAAUUUCGUUAGCUAGAGUUAGUACCAGUUAGCCCUUAAUAUUAAUGAUUAGUAUGCUAGAUGGUAACAUCGCUUUAUUUAUUUACUAUUAUUGCAUUUUUAAUGAAUUAUUAAUGGGUAUACUUUGAGUGUGUACAUUUACAUACCGGUUCGUGCGCACAUAUAUGCAUAUAUAUAUAUGGUUAUCUUAAACUAUAUUGUGAGAAUUUCCGUUGUUUAAUUGGUUUUUAUCUCAGAGAAUGUUUAAUGGCAAUAUUGAACAUUAAAGUUAUUGUGAACACGACUUGAUAAAGGCGUUUGUGUAUUUAACUAUAUUGUCUUUCUCUAAUUAUCGCAAAGUAUAUUUUUAAAAAAGUAUUCGUUGGUUAUUUAUUGGUAUACAUUUUGACUGAUAGAUAAAAGUAUUGGUUUUUAUGUGUUACUUUAUGGAAGUAAUUUAAAAUUAUUAUACGUACAAAUAUACAUUUAGACAACAUUAAUGUAGUUUUCGUACAAUGGCAAUACAGGAUUUCACAUGGAGAUAUUUUUUUUAAAAAGUAUAUACGUAUGUAUGCUUAACAAAACAGACUUAUAUGCAAAACAUGUAAACUGAAAGCUGAGUGAGGCAUAUACACACUAAAAAUCAUAUUUAAUUCAAGACAAAGAAAAACAUUUUCAAAUUAAACUUUCACAUACACAUUUAU